GAUGAACGCUGGCGGCGUGCCUAAUACAUGCAAGUCGAGCGAACAGAUAAGGAGCUUGCUCCUUUGACGUUAGCGGCGGACGGGUGAGUAACACGUGGGUAACCUACCUAUAAGACUGGAAUAACUCCGGGAAACCGGGGCUAAUGCCGGAUAACAUUUAGAACCGCAUGGUUCUAAAGUGAAAGAUGGUUUUACUAUCACUUAUAGAUGGACCCGCGCCGUAUUAGCUAGUUGGUAAGGUAACGGCUUACCAAGGCAACGAUACGUAGCCGACCUGAGAGGGUGAUCGGCCACACUGGAACUGAGACACGGUCCAGACUCCUACGGGAGGCAGCAGUAGGGAAUCUUCCGCAAUGGGCGAAAGCCUGACGGAGCAACGCCGCGUGAGUGAUGAAGGUCUUCGGAUCGUAAAACUCUGUUAUUAGGGAAGAACAAACGUGUAAGUAACUGUGCACGUCUUGACGGUACCUAAUCAGAAAGCCACGGCUAACUACGUG
rnacentral:rRNA from 1 species